GACGAACGCUGGCGGCGUGCUUAACACAUGCAUGUCGAACGGAAAGGCCCUGCUUUUGUGGGGUGCUCGAGUGGCGAACGGGUGAGUAACACGUGAGUAACCUGCCCUUGACUUUGGGAUAACCUCAGGAAACUGGGGCUAAUACCGGAUAGGAGCUCCUGCUGCAUGGUGGGGGUUGGAAAGUUUCGGCGGUUGGGGAUGGACUCGCGGCUUAUCAGCUUGUUGGUGGGGUAGUGGCUUACCAAGGCUUUGACGGGUAGCCGGCCUGAGAGGGUGACCGGCCACAUUGGGACUGAGAUACGGCCCAGACUCCUACGGGAGGCAGCAGUGGGGAAUAUUGCACAAUGGGCGGAAGCCUGAUGCAGCAACGCCGCGUGCGGGAUGACGGCCUUCGGGUUGUAAACCGCUUUCGCCUGUGACGAAGCGUGAGUGACGGUAAUGGGUAAAGAAGCACCGGCUAACUACGUGCCAGCAGCCGCGGUGAUACGUAGGGUGCGAGCGUUGUCCGGAUUUAUUGGGCGUAAAGGGCUCGUAGGUGGUUGAUCGCGUCGGAAGUGUAAUCUUGGGGCUUAACCCUGAGCGUGCUUUCGAUACGGGUUGACUUGAGGAAGGUAGGGGAGAAUGGAAUUCCUGGUGGAGCGGUGGAAUGCGCAGAUAUCAGGAGGAACACCAGUGGCGAAGGCGGUUCUCUGGGCCUUUCCUGACGCUGAGGAGCGAAAGCGUGGGGAGCGAACAGGCUUAGAUACCCUGGUAGUCCACGCUGUAAACGGUGGGUACUAGGUGUGGGGUCCAUUCCACGGGUUCCGUGCCGUAGCUAGCGCUUUAAGUACCCCGCCUGGGGAGUACGGCCGCAAGGCUAAAACUCAAAGGAAUUGACGGGGCCCCGCACAAGCGGCGGAGCAUGCGGAUUAAUUCGAUGCAACGCGUAGAACCUUACCUGGGUUUGACAUGGAUCGGGAGUGCUCAGAGAUGGGUGUGCCUCUUUUGGGGUCGGUUCACAGGUGGUGCAUGCCUGUCGUCAGCUCGUGUCGUGAGAUGUUGGGUUAAGUCCCGCAACGAGCGCAACCCUUGUUCACUGUUGCCAGCACGUUAUGGUGGGGACUCAGUGGAGACCGCCGGGGUCAACUCGGAGGAAGGCGGGGAUGACGUCAAGUCCUCAUGCCCCUUAUGUCCAGGGCUUCACGCAUGCUACAAUGGCUGGUACAGAGAGUGGCGAGCCUGUGAGGGUGAGCGAAUCUCGGAAAGCCGGUCUCAGUUCGGAUUGGGGUCUGCAACUCGACCUCAUGAAGUCGGAGUCGCUAGUAAUCGCAGAUCAGCAACGCUGCGGUGAAUACGUUCCCGGG
rnacentral:rRNA from 1 species